rnacentral:rRNA from 1 species
UACGGAGGGUGCAAGCGUUGUCCGGAUUUAUUGGGUUUAAAGGGUGCGUAGGCGGCUCCAUAAGUCAGCGUUGAAAUACGGCAGCUUAACUGUCGGACUGGCAUUGAUACUGUGGAGCUUGAGUAAAGUUGAGGUAGGCGGAAUUGAUGGUGUAGCGGUGAAAUGCUUAGAUAUCAUCAAGAACAUCGAUUGCGAAGGCAGCUUACUAAGUUUUAACUGACGCUGAGGCACGAAAGCGUGGGGAUCGAACAGG